AGUUUGAUCCUGGCUCAGGACAAACGCUGGCGGAAUGUAUUAGGCAUGCAAGUCGUACGAACCUUCGGGUUAGUGGCGAACGGGUGAGUAACACGUGGGUAACCUGCCUCGUAGUGGGGAAUAACUCGCCGAAAGGCGAGCUAAUACCGCAUAACACCCCUGGUGAGAAACCAGGUGGUAAAAGCUCCGGCGCUAUGAGAGGGGCCCGCGGCCGAUUAGCUAGUUGGUGGGGUAAUGGCCUACCAAGGCGACGAUCGGUAGCUGGUCUGAGAGGAUGGUCAGCCACACGGGGACUGAGAUACGGCCCCGACUCCUGCGGGAGGCAGCAGCUAAGAAUCUUGCGCAAUGGGCGAAAGCCUGGCGCAGCAAUUCCGCGUGGGGGACGAAGGCCCUCGGGUCGUAAACCCCUUUUGUGAGGGAAGAAGUUCUGACGGUACCUCACGAAUAAGACACGGCUAACUACGUGCCAGCAGCCGCGGUAAUACGUAGGUGUCAAGCGUUGCCCGGAUUUAUUGGGNNNAAAGAGCUCGUANGCGGUUUGUCGCGUCGGAUGUGUAAACCCAAUGGCUUAACCNNGGGCCUGCAUUCGAUACNGGCAAACUANAGUGUG
rnacentral:rRNA from 1 species